UACAAUAUUUCACACAACCUCAUUUCAUCUCUCUCUCUCUCUCUCUCUCUCUCUCUCUCAAACCUUCAACUCUUUUCCCAUCAAACCCUAAUAUCGCCGCCACCACCUUUCUCCCUCGUCUUUGUUUCUCCUUCCCCUGCUACUCCUUUCUCCGUUUAUAACUUCAAUCACAUCUUUCUCCGUUUCAGUUUGAUAUGUUUUCUAAAAAAUGUAUGAUGAAUAAUGACAGUUUGUCUCUUCUUUCAGAACACAACUUACCAAGGCAUAUAGACUGCUAAUGUUCUUUUUGAAGUUUUAAAGGCUGUUAACAUGACCCAAUCUAUGGAAGUUGAUGGAGAGUAGACUUUGGAGACACGAGAUAAAAUUGGUGAAAAGAUGGAGAUCAUAGUCCCUUUCAAUGUUCUUCCGCUCGAUCCUGAUAGUGCAAAUCAAGUGAUAAUGAGAUUUCCCGAGAUCCAAGCUGCUGUAUUUUCUCUUCAUAACACUACAGGUAUCUAUACACAUGGGUGAGAGAAGUGGCUCAAAAGAUUUCCCUUCAAGCAUUAUGAGAUGCUUCAGCCACCGACACAGUUGUUUGAUCCCUUAAUUUUGGUGUUUUCAUUCCGGAUGUUUUCAAAUUUAUGCAAACAGAGAGUCUUGGUGGAAGUGUUUUAUGGAAUGGUAGAAGUGUUUUAUGGAAUGGUAGAAGUACCGGGGCAAGACCAAAGAAUACAAGUUUAGAUUGUUGGUAUGAGAAUGUUACAAAUUUGAGUUUACCGAUUUAUAAGAGGCUGGUAGCUUUAGCUUUAAUGAGCUCUUCCAAAUUUUCCACCUCUGCAACAACCCGCAAGUCGGAUAAGACUGGUGAUUUAGUCUUAACUAGCUUCUCAUUCAUGACAGUGAAAACACGCAUAUCACCUGACCAAGAUAAUACAUAGCUCAAGUAAUGACACAAACUACAAAUUUUGUGGAUCAGAAUGAUUGAAAUUAUUCAUGAGGGAGUUAAUAACAGAAUUGCGUAGAGUGUGAGUUCCAAGCACAGUCCUAAUUGCAUUUUCUGUCAGAAUUGCGAAGAGCGUGAGUUCCAAACAGAUGCGGUGCAUGUUUUGGAAUUCUUGAACUGUUGAGAAGGUUACUUGUAAGAGUAUGAGAUGAGGGAACAAUGCUUUGGUUCAAUGCGUAUGAUGUUUCGUCUUGGUUACCACUAGCAAAUAGACAAGAAAUUAUUGCUGGUUGUCAUGCUUUCUAUGCAAAACAUAUUUUCCUGGCUUAAAUCAACAUAAGGUUUUUAUCUCCUUUUAGACAAGUAAGAAGCAUCUUUGUGGAAUUUGUUUACAGAGCUGUGGCCAUACAGAACUUAGAAGCAUCUAUUAUAGCAGUAAUUAUAAUUUUGUCUUA